UGGGGAAUAUUGCACAAUGGGCGCAAGCCUGAUGCAGCCAUGCCGCGUGUGUGAAGAAGGCCUUCGGGUUGUAAAGCACUUUCAGCGAGGAGGAAGGUGGUGAGCUUAAUACGCUCAUCAAUUGACGUUACUCGCAGAAGAAGCACCGGCUAACUCCGUGCCAGCAGCCGCGGUAAUACGGAGGGUGCAAGCGUUAAUCGGAAUUACUGGGCGUAAAGCGCACGCAGGCGGUUUGUUAAGUCAGAUGCGAAAUCCCCCGGGCUCAACCUGGGAACUGCAUUUGAAACUGGCAAGCUAGAGUCUCGUAGAGGGGGGUAGAAUUCCAGGUGUAGCGGUGAAAUGCGUAGAGAUCUGGAGGAAUACCGGUGGCGAAGGCGGCCCCCCUGGACGAAGACUGACGCUCAGGUGCGAAAGCGUGGGGCAGCAAACAGGAUUAGAUACCCUGGUAGUCCACGCUGUAAACGAUGUCGAUUUGGAGGUUGUGCCCCUUGGGCGUGGCUUCCGGAGCUAACGCGUUAAAGUCGACCGCCUGGGGAGUACGGCNCAAGGUUAAAACUCAAAGGAACUGACGGGUCUAGCUGUUUCCU
rnacentral:rRNA from 1 species